rnacentral:rRNA from 1 species
UCCUACGGGAGGCAGCAGUGGGGAAUCUUGGACAAUGGGCGCAAGCCUGAUCCAGCCAUGCCGCGUGUGUGAUGAAGGCCUUAGGGUCGUAAAGCACUUUCGCCAGAGAUGAUAAUGACAGUAUCUGGUAAAGAAACCCCGGCUAACUCCGUGCCAGCAGCCGCGGUAAUACGGAGGGGGUUAGCGUUGUUCGGAAUUACUGGGCGUAAAGCGCACGUAGGCGGACUAGUCAGUCAGAGGUGAAAUCCCAGGGCUCAACCCUGGAACUGCCUUUGAUACUGCUAGUCUUGAGUUCGAGAGAGGUGAGUGGAAUUCCGAGUGUAGAGGUGAAAUUCGUAGAUAUUCGGAGGAACACCAGUGGCGAAGGCGGCUCACUGGCUCGAUACUGACGCUGAGGUGCGAAAGUGUGGGGAGCAAACAGGAUUAGAUACCCUGGUAGUCCACACCGUAAACGAUGAAUGCCAGUCGUCGGGCAGUAUACUGUUCGGUGACACACCUAACGGAUUAAGCAUUCCGCCUGGGGAGUACGGUCGCAAGAUUAAAACUCAAAGGAAUUGACGGA